AGUGGCCUAGUGGUAUGGCGUCCGCCUGGUAACCCAGGGGUCGCGGGUUCGAGUCC
rnacentral:tRNA from 1 species